UACGGAGGGUGCAAGCGUUGUUCGGAAUUACUGGGCGUAAAGGGCGCGUAGGCGGUAAUAUAAGUCAAAUGUGAAAUCCUCCAGCUUAACUGGAGAACAGCAUCUGAAACUGUGUAACUAGAGUACAGGAGAGGGAAACGGAAUUCCCGGUGUAGAGGUGAAAUUCGUAGAUAUCGGGAGGAACACCAGUGGCGAAGGCGGUUUCCUGGCCUGAUACUGACGCUGAGGCGCGAAAGCGUGGGGAGCAAACAGG
rnacentral:rRNA from 2 species